GACGAACGCUGGCGGCGUGCUUAACACAUGCAAGUCGAACGGAAAGGCCCCUUUGGGGGUACUCGAGUGGCGAACGGGUGAGUAACACGUGAGUAACCUGCCCUUGACUUCGGGAUAACUUCAGGAAACUGGGGCUAAUACCGGAUAGGAAUCCUUGCUGCAUGGUGGGGGUUGGAAAGCUUCGGCGGUUUUGGAUGGACUCGCGGCUUAUCAGCUUGUUGGUGGGGUAGUGGCUUACCAAGGCUUUGACGGGUAGCCGGCCUGAGAGGGCGACCGGCCUCAUUGGGACUGAGAUACGGCCCAGACUCCUACGGGAGGCAGCAGUGGGGAAUAUUGCACAAUGGGCGGAAGCCUGAUGCAGCAACGCCGCGUGCGGGAUGACGGCCUUCGGGUUGUAAACCGCUUUCAGCAGGGGCGAAGCUUGUGGUGACGGUACCUGCAGAAGAAGCACCGGCUAACUACGUG
rnacentral:rRNA from 1 species